ensembl:lncRNA
CACAUCUAUUGGACCAUGUUCAAUAUAAGGUUGACGGACACUUCAGAGAAAGCAGAACUACACUCAACAGUACAAUUCAAGCAGGUGAUGGAAGAUUUGCUUUUAUUCUGUGGCUCUAUUGAACUGCUGCUGUUUCUCAUGGAUGCUGGAACAAAAGCUGUGAAGUGUUUGGUAUCAUGUACCCGCAAAGGUUCCUUAAACUCCUCUGAUUAGCUCUUAUUGUGUAUGCCAGCGGGUCGCUGGUUCUAAUCAGGUGGUCUUUGGUCAGCUCUGCAUCUGGGACUAAUCGGGCUGUGGUUUAACCCCUUCCUACCAGCACUUUAAUGUCUGCACCACCAAACUGGUGAUGUCAUCACCCUUCUUUUACCUCUUUUUCCCAGGCGUGUUUGUGAGUCAUUAUCAGACGGGUGAGGGCAGAACAACAGAAGACACACAGACAUCAGAGCACCAGGAGGAACAGCAUGUGACCCAGUCCUCACAUUCAGGCAAGAUACCUCAGGAAGAAUACAGUCUGAAUUCUAUAGCGAUUAAUAAAAAACAUCAAGAUCUUACUGAGAUUCAUAGGCUGAUAUAACUGACUUUAACAACACAAUCCACACGCUUCUCAAAACUUUGAUACAGCUACUGGAUUAAUAAAAAAAUAAUAAUUAACCCA